rnacentral:tRNA from 1 species
GGGCGGAUAGCUCAGCUGGUUAGAGCACCGGUUUUACAAGUCGGGGGUCACAGGUUCGAACCCUGUUCCGCCUACCA